rnacentral:rRNA from 1 species
GGGUUGUGAGGUUAAGCGACUAAGCGUACACGGUGGAUGCCCUGGCAGUCAGAGGCGAUGAAGGACGUGCUAAUCUGCGAUAAGCGUCGGUGAGGUGAUAUGAACCGUUAUAACCGGCGAUUUCCGAAUGGGGAAACCCAGUGUGUUUCGACACACUAUCAUUAACUGAAUCCAUAGGUUAAUGAGGCGAACCGGGGGAACUGAAACAUCUAAGUACCCCGAGGAAAAGAAAUCAACCGAGAUUCCCCCAGUAGCGGCGAGCGAACGGGGAGGAGCCCAGAGCCUGAAUCAGUGUGUGUGUUAGUGGAAGCGUCUGGAAAGGCGCGCGAUACAGGGUGACAGCCCCGUACACAAAAAUGCACAUAUUGUGAGCUCGAUGAGUAGGGCGGGACACGUGGUAUCCUGUCUGAAUAUGGGGGGACCAUCCUCCAAGGCUAAAUACUCCUGACUGACCGAUAGUGAACCAGUACCGUGAGGGAAAGGCGAAAAGAACCCCGGCGAGGGGAGUGAAAAAGAACCUGAAACCGUGUACGUACAAGCAGUGGGAGCCUCUUUAUGGGGUGACUGCGUACCUUUUGUAUAAUGGGUCAGCGACUUAUAUUCUGUAGCAAGGUUAACCGAAUAGGGGAGCCGAAGGGAAACCGAGUCUUAACUGGGCGUUAAGUUGCAGGGUAUAGACCCGAAACCCGGUGAUCUAGCCAUGGGCAGGUUGAAGGUUGGGUAACACUAACUGGAGGACCGAACCGACUAAUGUUGAAAAAUUAGCGGAUGACUUGUGGCUGGGGGUGAAAGGCCAAUCAAACCGGGAGAUAGCUGGUUCUCCCCGAAAGCUAUUUAGGUAGCGCCUCGUGAAUUCAUCUCCGGGGGUAGAGCACUGUUUCGGCAAGGGGGUCAUCCCGACUUACCAACCCGAUGCAAACUGCGAAUACCGGAGAAUGUUAUCACGGGAGACACACGGCGGGUGCUAACGUCCGUCGUGAAGAGGGAAACAACCCAGACCGCCAGCUAAGGUCCCAAAGUCAUGGUUAAGUGGGAAACGAUGUGGGAAGGCCCAGACAGCCAGGAUGUUGGCUUAGAAGCAGCCAUCAUUUAAAGAAAGCGUAAUAGCUCACUGGUCGAGUCGGCCUGCGCGGAAGAUGUAACGGGGCUAAACCAUGCACCGAAGCUGCGGCAGCGACACUAUGUGUUGUUGGGUAGGGGAGCGUUCUGUAAGCCUGUGAAGGUGGCCUGUGAGGGUUGCUGGAGGUAUCAGAAGUGCGAAUGCUGACAUAAGUAACGAUAAAGCGGGUGAAAAGCCCGCUCGCCGGAAGACCAAGGGUUCCUGUCCAACGUUAAUCGGGGCAGGGUGAGUCGACCCCUAAGGCGAGGCCGAAAGGCGUAGUCGAUGGGAAACAGGUUAAUAUUCCUGUACUUGGUGUUACUGCGAAGGGGGGACGGAGAAGGCUAUGUUGGCCGGGCGACGGUUGUCCCGGUUUAAGCGUGUAGGCUGGUUUUCCAGGCAAAUCCGGAAAACCAAGGCUGAGGCGUGAUGACGAGGCACUACGGUGCUGAAGCGACAAAUGCCCUGCUUCCAGGAAAAGCCUCUAAGCAUCAGGUAACAUCAAAUCGUACCCCAAACCGACACAGGUGGUCAGGUAGAGAAUACCAAGGCGCUUGAGAGAACUCGGGUGAAGGAACUAGGCAAAAUGGUGCCGUAACUUCGGGAGAAGGCACGCUGAUAUGUAGGUGAAGCGACUUGCUCGUGGAGCUGAAAUCAGUCGAAGAUACCAGCUGGCUGCAACUGUUUAUUAAAAACACAGCACUGUGCAAACACGAAAGUGGACGUAUACGGUGUGACGCCUGCCCGGUGCCGGAAGGUUAAUUGAUGGGGUUAGCGGUAACGCGAAGCUCUUGAUCGAAGCCCCGGUAAACGGCGGCCGUAACUAUAACGGUCCUAAGGUAGCGAAAUUCCUUGUCGGGUAAGUUCCGACCUGCACGAAUGGCGUAAUGAUGGCCAGGCUGUCUCCACCCGAGACUCAGUGAAAUUGAACUCGCUGUGAAGAUGCAGUGUACCCGCGGCAAGACGGAAAGACCCCGUGAACCUUUACUAUAGCUUGACACUGAACAUUGAGCCUUGAUGUGUAGGAUAGGUGGGAGGCUUUGAAGUGUGGACGCCAGUCUGCAUGGAGCCGACCUUGAAAUACCACCCUUUAAUGUUUGAUGUUCUAACGUUGGCCCGUAAUCCGGGUUGCGGACAGUGUCUGGUGGGUAGUUUGACUGGGGCGGUCUCCUCCUAAAGAGUAACGGAGGAGCACGAAGGUUGGCUAAUCCUGGUCGGACAUCAGGAGGUUAGUGCAAUGGCAUAAGCCAGCUUGACUGCGAGCGUGACGGCGCGAGCAGGUGCGAAAGCAGGUCAUAGUGAUCCGGUGGUUCUGAAUGGAAGGGCCAUCGCUCAACGGAUAAAAGGUACUCCGGGGAUAACAGGCUGAUACCGCCCAAGAGUUCAUAUCGACGGCGGUGUUUGGCACCUCGAUGUCGGCUCAUCACAUCCUGGGGCUGAAGUAGGUCCCAAGGGUAUGGCUGUUCGCCAUUUAAAGUGGUACGCGAGCUGGGUUUAGAACGUCGUGAGACAGUUCGGUCCCUAUCUGCCGUGGGCGCUGGAGAACUGAGGGGGGCUGCUCCUAGUACGAGAGGACCGGAGUGGACGCAUCACUGGUGUUCGGGUUGUCAUGCCAAUGGCACUGCCCGGUAGCUAAAUGCGGAAGAGAUAAGUGCUGAAAGCAUCUAAGCACGAAACUUGCCCCGAGAUGAGUUCUCCCUGAUUCCUUGAGAGUCCUGAAGGAACGUUGAAGACGACGACGUUGAUAGGCCGGGUGUGUAAGCGCAGCGAUGCGUUGAGCUAACCGGUACUAAUGAACCGUGAGGCUUAACCUUACAACGCCGAAG